GCUGGGAGUGGUGGCACACACUUGUAAUCCCAGCAGCUCGGAGGCUGAGACAGGAGGAUCUCAAGUUCAAAGCCAGCCUCAGCAACAGUGAGUCACUAAGCAACUCAGUAAGAUCCUGUCUCUA
rnacentral:sRNA from 1 species